UACGAAGGGGGCUAGCGUUGCUCGGAAUCACUGGGCGUAAAGGGUGCGUAGGCGGGUCUUAAGUCAGGGGUGAAAUCCUGGAGCUCAACUCCAGAACUGCCUUUGAUACUGAAGAUCUUGAGUUCGGGAGAGGUGAGUGGAACUGCGAGUGUAGAGGUGAAAUUCGUAGAUAUUCGCAAGAACACCAGUGGCGAAGGCGGCUCACUGGCCCGAUACUGACGCUGAGGCACGAAAGCGUGGGGAG
rnacentral:rRNA from 1 species